UCCGUACUCCCUCCAUUCCAAAAUACUUGACUUCCAUUUGUCCAAAAAUGGAUGUACCUAUAUACUAAGACAUGUCUAGAUACAUAUAUAUUUUGACAAAUAGAAGGCAUGUAUUGUGCAACGGAGGGAGUAGAAU
rnacentral:pre_miRNA from 1 species